CUACGGGAGGCAGCAGUGGGGAAUAUUGGACAAUGGGGGAAACCCUGAUCCAGCAAUGCCGCGUGGGUGAUGAAGGCCUUCGGGUUGUAAAGCCCUUUCGGCGGGGACGAUGAUGACGGUACCCGCAGAAGAAGCCCCGGCUAACUUCGUGCCAGCAGCCGCGGUGAUACGAAGGGGGCUAGCGUUGUUCGGAAUUACUGGGCGUAAAGGGCGCGUAGGCGGCUUGUCUAGUCGGGCGUGAAAAGCCUGGGCUUAACCCGGGAACUGCGCUCGAUACUGAUAGGCUUGAGUGUGGGAGAGGAUGGUGGAAUUCCCAGUGUAGAGGUGAAAUUCGUAGAUAUUGGGAAGAACACCGGUGGCGAAGGCGGCCAUCUGGACCACAACUGACGCUGAGGCGCGAAAGCGUGGGGAGCAAACGGGAUUAGAUACCCUUGUAGUCC
rnacentral:rRNA from 1 species